GAUACAGACUCUUUGGUGACACGAGGACGCCAGGUCUCCACUGGGUGACUUGGGGGUGAGGGGCCUUCUCCAGAAGGACCUACAGGAAGAGCAGCAAGUUGAAGGAGGAUUCCAACAAGCUUGAGCACUGACUAUUGUGCAACUGACCAUAAAAAGGAGCAAAGAGGAGGUGGAGACAACAGCAAAAACACGUCGUGGAGAAGUUCAAUGCCUCAAGUCAGAGAAAGAAGAGGCAUCAAGUCAGUAUUAGAGCCACAGUGGCCACAGCACCCAUUUUUCUCCUCUGUCUCAAGUCUUUAGCCUCUCCUUUCCCUCCAUCUCUGUCCUCUGUCACUCUGACUUUCACUUCAGGUCAUGUAAUAAAUUCACCCACCCAGCA